rnacentral:lncRNA from 1 species
AAGCAGAUCGGCGGCCGCGGGGAGGUUCGGGGCGGCGCAGCCCCGCGCGGUUGUGGGAUCGCUCCCGGGGGCCGCUCCUCUCUCGGGCACUGGGGUCGCGGGAGACGUCGUCGGGAGCUCGGUUUCUGGAGGCCCUUCCCCACCCGGCCUCUGCCUCCUCCACUCCCCCGGGCUGGACGGAACGGGGCCCAGCGCGGGAUGCGAGGUGCGUCCCCGGGGCCCGCAGCGGGCGGGAGCGCAGCCAGGGCCCGGUCGGGGACGCAGGCCCAGGGCGCUGAGGCUGCACCUGCCUCUCCGAAACCGGGCUGGCUCUUUUUGUCUUUUUAUUUUUCUAAUUUAUUUUUUUAGAGGUAUGAUUUCGCUCUGUCGCCCAGGCUGGAGGGCAGUGGCGCAAUCUCGGCUCACUGCAGCCUCGAACUCCUAGGCUGAAGCGAUUCUCCCGCCUCAGCCUCCAAAGUAGCCGGUACUACAGGCGCGCGCCACCACGCCUGGCUAAGAAAUAACCAUGGAUAUGGGUAGAGACAGAGCCAUAUGGAAUGCACACUGCAGUGGUGAACACAUGGCCCAGCUCUGCCAUCAAGGAGAAGGAACAUGAAUGGAGCUGGAGGCCAUCAUCCUUAGUGAACUAACACAGGAGCAGAAAACCAAAUACCACAUGUUCUCAUGUGUAAGUGGGAGCUAAAUGAUGAGAACACAUGGACACAAAGAGGGGAACAACAGACACUGAAGCCUCCUUGAGGGAGGAGGGUAAGAGGAAGGAGAAGAUCAGAAAAGAUAACUACCAGGUACUAUGGUAGCUUAGUACCUGGGUGAUGAAAUAAUCUGUACACCCAACCCUCAUGACAGAAGUUUACCUGUGUAACAAACCUGCACAUGUAUCCCUGAAACUAAAAGUUUUUUAAAAAGUUAUUUAAUAUAUAUAUAUUUUUUUGAGACGGAGUUUUGCUCUUGUUGCCCAGGCUGGAGUGCGGUGGCGCAAUUUCGGCUCACCACAACCUCCGCCUCCCAGGUUCAAGCUAUUCCCCUGCCUCAGCCUCCCUAGUAGCUGGGAUUACAGGCUUGUGCCACCACGCCGGCUAAUUUUGUAUUUUUUGUAGAGACGGGGUUUCUCCAUGUUGGUCAGGCUGGUCUCGAACUCCCGACCUCAGGUGAUCCACCCCCCUCGGCCUCCCAAAGUGCUAGGAUUACAGGCAUGAGCCACUGCGCCCGGCAAAAAGUUAUUUAAUAUUAAUGGGACAAUACUCAUUGCAAGAAUCAGACUUCAAUUGCUAGCAUAAGUAAAUGACAGGCAGGAGAUAUUGAAAAUGCAAUCUUAUAGACAUUCAAGGAGAGGACGCAGGACAUUUCUGUGUCAUAAAUGUACUAUGGAAAAUAAAAAUGAGAAAAAUGGAAAUAAAAUACAAGAAAAGGUUAUGAUAAAUUUCAUAUUAUUUUACCACAAUAAAAAAAUUUUAAUAAAUUAUAAAUGGUGUGAUAUGUUUUGCCUGUGUUCCACCCAAAUCUCAUCUUGAAUUAGAGCUCCCACAAUUCCCACGUGUUGUGGCUGGGACCCUGUGGGAGAUAAUUGAAUCAUGGGGGCAGUUUACCCCAUACUGUUCUCUUGGUGGUGAAUAAGUCUCAUGAGAGUUGAUGGUUUGAUAAGGGGUUUCCCCUUUUGCUUGGCUCUCAUUCUCUCUUGACUGCCACCAUGUAAGAUGUGCCUUUUGCCUUCCACCAUGAUUGUGAAGCCUCCCAGCCACAUGGAACUGUGAGUCCAUUAAACCUUUUUCUUUACAAAUUA